rnacentral:rRNA from 1 species
GGCCUAACACAUGCAAGUCGAGGGGUAUAGGUAGCUUGCUACCUAGAGACCGGCGCACGGGUGCGUAACGCGUAUGCAACCUACCCUUUUCUGGGGGAUAGCCCGAAGAAAUUCGGAUUAAUACCGCAUAAGACCACGAUACGGCAUCGUGAUGUGGUCAAACAUUUAUGGGAGAAGGAUGGGCAUGCGUGCCAUUAGCUAGUUGGCGGGGUAACGGCCCACCAAGGCGACGAUGGCUAGGGGAUCUGAGAGGAUGGCCCCCCACACUGGUACUGAGACACGGACCAGACUCCUACGGGAGGCAGCAGUAAGGAAUAUUGGUCAAUGGAGGCAACUCUGAACCAGCCAUGCCGCGUGCAGGAAGACAGCCCUCUGGGUCGUAAACUGCUUUUAUUCGGGAAUAAACCUUAUUACGUGUAAUAAGCUGAAUGUACCGAAGGAAUAAGGAUC